rfam:Schistosoma haematobium scaffold742_36, whole genome shotgun sequence.
GCCGGCGACGAUACCACGUUGAAAGCACCGGUUCUCGUCCGAUUACCACAGUUAAGCAACGUUGGGCCCGGUCAGUACUUGCAUGGGGGGCCCUCGCUUUGCCAGUC